rnacentral:rRNA from 1 species
UACGAAGGGGGCGAGCGUUGUUCGGAGUUACUGGGCGUAAAGGGCGCGUAGGCGGCGAUCCAAGUUAGGCGUGAAAGCCCCGGGCUUAACCUGGGAAUUGCGCUUAAGACUGGACUGCUUGAGUGCGGGAGAGGUGAGUGGAAUUCCCAGUGUAGAGGUGAAAUGCGUAGAUAUCUGGAGGAAUACCGGUGGCGAAGGCGGCAUCCUGGACCGGCAUUGACGCUGAGGAGCGAAAGCCAGGGGAGCAAACGGG